UACGUAGGGUGCAAGCGUUAAUCGGAAUUACUGGGCGUAAAGCGUGCGCAGGCGGUUUUGUAAGUCUGACGUGAAAUCCCCGGGCUCAACCUGGGAAUUGCGUUGGAGACUGCAAGGCUAGAAUCUGGCAGAGGGGGGUAGAAUUCCACGUGUAGCAGUGAAAUGCGUAGAGAUGUGGAGGAACACCGAUGGCGAAGGCAGCCCCCUGGGUCAAGAUUGACGCUCAUGCACGAAAGCGUGGGGAGCAAACAGU
rnacentral:rRNA from 1 species